AACCAUGUGGUGAGCACAAAGCGAACUAUUCUUUCGCCUUUUACUAAAGAAUACCGUGUGUUCGCCAUUUAUAGUGGCAUACGCUUAUUUUUGGAGAGUCCCUUUUGAUUAAAGGGCU